GAAAACAUAAUCUAAAACUAUAUAAAAAUAUUAUUAUUAUUAUUAUUAUUAUUAUUUUUUAUUUUAUUUUUAUAUAUCUAGGGUAUUAGUGUCAUUUUACCUAUUAAAUGAAACAUUUUGGUCAUUUUCCUUCUUGUGGUCUAUUUUUGUGAUCAAAACUUGAAAAUUGUCUAUUUAUGAGAAUUGCUCAAAUUUUUACCUAUUAAACAUUAAGUAAAGGUUAAUUUAUAACUGUACUUCAUUUUAAUAAGAUUAAGCUGGUUUAAUUUUAUUUUAAAAUGAUGGUAAUAAUGAGCAAUGAUAAAUAUCCCCAUAUACAUUAAAAGAGAAGUCACUUUAGUGAUUUCUGCUGACGUGACACUCAUAUAGAGCUUCUCAGGAAAAUUCCUAUAAUUCUAUUGGCUGAUUUUUUGGAAUUUUUCUUUUUCAUUUAUUUUUUUCACUCUCCUCCGCGGAUUUGAAAACGCCGUAUGUCGUGAAGUUUUUUUUUUUUUUUUCAAUCGCGUAUCAAUUGAAGGGAGAUAUGGUUUCAAACCGAUGAAGACAAUUGAAGCGACAACCAGACGAGGUGAAGUUUGUCGAUACUCUCGAAUUUACAGUUUUUUUGGUUUCUCUGAUUGGAUUCGACUUUUAAGCUAUAAGGCGAAUAAUUUUUGGUUUCUCUGAUUGGAUUCGACUUUUAAGCUAUGAUACAAAGAUUUUUGGAUUUCACUGAUUGGAUUCGACAUAUGUUAAGCUAUAAACUACGAUCUGCUUAUUAACAUUUUAAAUCUUUGUAUAUAAUUGACUGAUAAACCUUCUUGCUGUUGAGUUCUUGAUUCUCUUAAACAAGACCAUUGCCACGACCAGAGAUGUAUUUUGCGGACUGUAUACUAAUGGAACAAGAAGAGACAACUGACAUUUACAACAAUCGGUAAUUCGACUUCAGUGUCUGAAGAAUGACUGUAAGAUUAUCUUCUCCUUAAUAACUCAACAAGCAUUUAGACAGUCCUCUCUUGAGAUUUUCAAGUUUGGUUUUUGUUUCAUUAGCACGAUUUUGAGCUUCACAUUACUAAUUCCGAUAGUCUGUUGCAUCGCUAAUUGCAGCACGAUUUAGAGCUUCACAUUACUAAUUUAGUCAGUCGGUUUCAUUCCUUGCGGUUUCCGUUCUGUUGGUUUUCGGAUUUUCAAGUUUGGUCUUCUUAAUUAUGAGAAAAAAUGUGAAUAGCCUAUUUAGAAAAGCCCAAAUAUAUUGUCGAUAGAUGUUAAGCCCAUAUAUUUAUUCGAUUUGGGGAUAAUAAUUAGAUAACUUGCGCAAGAUUGUUAACUAAUUUGCAUAUUAAUAACUUUUCUUAUUAUUCGAAUCAAUUGCUUGUGCCGGUUGUUAUCAUAUUUAUUACAUUACUUGCGCAAGUUAAAAUCAUAUCAUAUGCAAAUCAAUUUAUGAAAAUACACAAUUAAUAUCUUUCUUUAAACGAUUUCAAUCUUUAUUAGGGGUCAUUAAUAUGAUAAAUAAAUCGGCUUAAUAUAUAUAUAUAUAUAUGAGAAGCCCGAAUGCUUAAAAUACAAACAUUCAGCUCUUACAAGAACAAUGACAAUGGUGCGAGCCAAAAAAAUAUUGUUUCUUAUGUGAGAGAAUUAAAACCCCGUAAAAAUACGUCGCGUAUUGAAGUUAGGAUUGUUCGCUUGUGGAGAAACUAUAACAAAGAAUCAGGAAACACCAUUGAAAUGGUGGUUGUUGAUAAAGAAGUAACUAUACAUCACACAAAUUGCAUUUUUUUAGAAGCAUCAUUUAUAUACUUAUUCUGCGUUUAUAAAACUCUUAUAAUUUUUGUGACUAGAGGACAAGAAUUCAUGCUUCAGUUGGUGAAGGGUUUGUGUUGAAUAUGCAGGAAGGAUCAAAAGAUCUAUGUAUAUAAUACAUAAAUGUGACCAGGGGACAACAGAGAACCUUUUGGAAUGGCACAGAGAGGAAAUUUCUCAGGGAUAUACAGGAAGGUUCAACUGAAGCCGCUGAAGUGGGAUGGUGAAGGCGAAGAAGAAAGACCUGUAGAGGCCCUUAUGAUUCUUAAAAACGGUGGUGUUCUAACUCACGCUGGUAGAAAACAGGCAGAAGAGCUUGGUAGAUUCUUCCGAUAUAAUUUGUAUCCAUGUGAAGGGACUGGUUUGCUUCUUCUCCAUAGUACAUACCGUCAUGACCUUAAAAUUUACAGCUCUGACGAAGGACGUGUUCAGAUGUCUGCAACUGCUUUUGCUAAAGGCCUUCUUGACCUAGAAGGACAGUUGUCGCCAAUCCUGGGUUUCUUUGGUUAGCAAGGAUUCUUCCAUGUUGGAUGGUUUUGAUACUGCCAGCAUUGAAAUGGAAGCUGCCAAGGCUAGAUUGAAUGAGAUUCUAACGUCUGGUAAAAAAAUGAUUAAUGAAUUACUACUAUUUAUUAUUAUCAAAUCAUAGUAGUAAUUAUCAAAUUAAAUAAGCAAAAGGUAAAACAAAAAGAGAGAGGCAUAACAUAAAAUAAGUUAGCAUAUUAAAUUGCAAAUAAGCCAAAAUAGGUGAAGUUUUACCAAACCAUGUUUCAGUAACCCAACCUGUAAGAGAUUUAGAUUUUUUUUCAAAAAUUAAAUAAGCAAAAGCCAAAUCUACGUUUAAGUAAC